rnacentral:rRNA from 1 species
AUUGAACGCUGGCGGCAGGCCUAACACAUGCAAGUCGAGCGAGCGUCGGACGGGUGAGUAAUGUAUGGGGAUCUGCCCGAUAGAGGGGGAUAACUACUGGAAACGGUGGCUAAUACCGCAUACUAUCGGAUGAACCCAUAUGGGAUUAGCUAGUAGGUGGGGUAAAGGUUCACCUAGGCGACGAUCUCUAGCUGUUCUGAGAGGAUGAUCAGGCACACUGGGACUGAGACACGGCCUAGACUCCUACGUGAGGCAGCAUUGGAGAAUAUUGCAAAAGGGGCGCAAGCCUGAUGCAGCAAUGGCGCGUGUAUGAAGAAGGCCUUAGGGUUGUAAAGUACUGUCAGCGGGGAGGCGUAACCCGCAGAAGAAGAACCGGCUAACUCCGUGCCAGCAGCCGCGGUAAUAC